GAUGAACGCUGGCGGCGUGCCUAAUACAUGCAAGUCGAGCGAACGGACGAGAAGCUUGCUUCUCUGAUGUUAGCGGCGGAAGGGUGAGUAACACGUGGAUAACCUACCUAUAAGACUGGGAUAACUUCGGGAAACCGGAGCUAAUACCGGAUAAUAUUUUGAACCGCGUGGUUCAAAAGUGAAAGACGGUCUUGCUGUCACUUAUAGAUGGAUCCGCGCUGCAUUAGCUAGUUGGUAAGGUAGCGGCUUACCAAGGCAACGAUGCAUAGCCGACCUGAGAGGGUGAUCGGCCACACUGGAACUGAGACACGGUACAGACUCCUACGGGAGGCAGCAGUAGGGAAUCUUGCGCAAUGGGCGAAAGCCUGACGGAGCAACGCCGCGUGAGUGAUGAAGGUCUUCGGAUCGUAAAACUCUGUUAUUAGGGAAGAACAUAUGUGUAAGUAACUGUGCACAUCUUGACGGUACCUAAUCAGAAAGCAACGGCUAACUACGUG
rnacentral:rRNA from 1 species